AGCUCCAAUAGCGUAUAUUAAAGUUGUUGCGGUUAAAAAGCUCGUAGUUGGAUUUCUGUCGAAGACUGCCGGUCCGCUCUAUGAGCGUGUAUCUGGUUAGGCUUUGGCAUCCUCUUGAAGAACGUUGCUGCGCUUGAUUGCGUGGUGCGGUAUUCAAGACCUUUACUUUGAGGAAAUUAGAGUGUUCACGGCAGGCAAGCGCCUUGGAUACAUUAGCAUGGAAUAAUAACAUAGGAUUUAGGUUCUAUUUUGUUGGUUUCUAGAACUUGA
rnacentral:rRNA from 1 species